AGGGAAUCUUCGGCAAUGGGGGCAACCCUGACCGAGCAACGCCGCGUGAGUGAAGAAGGUUUUCGGAUCGUAAAGCUCUGUUGUAAGAGAAGAACGAGUGUGAGAGUGGAAAGUUCACACUGUGACGGUAACUUACCAGAAAGGGACGGCUAACUACGUGCCAGCAGCCGCGGUAAUACGUAGGUCCCGAGCGUUAUCCGGAUUUAUUGGGCGUAAAGCGAGCGCAGGCGGUUAGAUAAGUCUGAAGUUAAAGGCUGUGGCUUAACCAUAGUACGCUUUGGAAACUGUUUAACUUGAGUGCAGAAGGGGAGAGUGGAAUUCCAUGUGUAGCGGUGAAAUGCGUAGAUAUAUGGAGGAACACCGGUGGCGAAAGCGGCUCUCUGGUCUGUAACUGACGCUGAGGCUCGAAAGCGUGGGGAGCAAACAGGAUUAGAUACCCUGGUAGUCCACGCCGUAAACGAUGAGUGCUAGGUGUUGGGUCCUUUCCGGGACUCAGUGCCGCAGCUAACGCAUUAAGCACUCCGCCUGGGGAGUACGACCGCAAGGUUG
rnacentral:rRNA from 1 species